UACGAAGGGGGCUAGCGUUGUUCGGAAUCACUGGGCGUAAAGCGCACGUAGGCGGAUUUUUAAGUCAGGGGUGAAAUCCCGAGGCUCAACCUCGGAACUGCCUUUGAUACUGGAGAUCUUGAGUCCGGAAGAGGUAGGUGGAACUGCGAGUGUAGAGGUGAAAUUCGUAGAUAUUCGCAAGAACACCAGUGGCGAAGGCGGCUUACUGGUCCGGAACUGACGCUGAGGUGCGAAAGCGUGGGGAGCAAACAGG
rnacentral:rRNA from 1 species